GGACAACACCUGCAGAAAAGAAUAUUUUGCCACUGAAACCAUCAGCUCAUGAGUCUUCUGGUUUGGCGAGUGGCUCAGCCAGAUGGGUCUCUCUUUGCUGCCUCCUGGUAGGCAGUGAUGAGCGCCAUGCUGACUGGCUUGACCAGUGAUCCUCACCGAUGGGACACAUUAGUCAGCAACCCGUCUGACAGUUCUGACACUUCCAAACCAUGAAUGUCUGUAGAGAAACGCUACAGAAGUCAGCAGCUGUAACUGUUGUGAAUGGCAGGGCAGCAGUUUGAAGCAGGACUGUACUUUCUUCUUGCUCCCCUUCUAUCCAAAUCAGCAACAGGGAAACCACUGGUAAAAUGAAGCACUUCUCCACAGAGAUGUUUCCUAGGAUGAUUCUUAUAUAACUUAGAAGGUCAAAGUCAGCUUUUGGGACAUGCAUGUUAUUAAGGUGCUGUAAGUUAACGAUCACAUCACAGAACAAAUUUUGAGUGCUAGCCAGUCCAAAUAUAUCAGGAACAAUUUUUGCCCACAGCACAUCUAAAUUCAGUUCUGAGCUUCAGCUGAUCAGUAUGGAUUAUAUUAAUUCAGAAAAGAGAAGAAAAUAGCUCAUUGUGCAGUUUACAAGGUGCCUGAGUUACAGGACAGCUGUUGAAUCUGGAAGUUCCUUACCCCAUACACUAGAGAAAUGGAGUUCAUUACAUGCAGC
rnacentral:lncRNA from 14 species